GGGAGAAUAGCUAAGCUGGGAGAGCACCUCCCUUACAAGGAGGGGGUCGGCGGUUCGAUCCCGUCAUCACCCA
rnacentral:tRNA from 1 species